rnacentral:rRNA from 1 species
GACGAACGCUGGCGGCGUGCUUAACACAUGCAAGUCGAACGGAAAGGCCCUGCUUUUGUGGGGUGCUCGAGUGGCGAACGGGUGAGUAACACGUGUGUAACCUGCCCUUGACUUUGGGAUAUCUCCAGGAAACUGGGGCUAAUACCGCAUAGGAGCUCCUGCUGCAUGGUGUGCGUUGGAAAGUUUCGGCGGUUGGGGAUGGACUCGCUGCUUAUCCGCUUGUUGGUGGGGUAGUGGCUUACCAAGGCUUCGACGGGUAGCCGGCCUGGGGGGGGGACCGGCCACAGUGGGACUGGGAACCGGCCCAGACUCCUACGGGAGGCAGGGGUGGGAAAUUUGGCACAAGGGGCGGAGGCAUGAUGCAGAAACGCCGGGUGGGGAAUGACGGCUUUCGGGUGGGAACCGCUUUCGCCUGUGACGAAGCGUGAGUGACGGUAAUGGGUAAAGAAGCACCGGCUAACUACGUG